UUGCCCCUACGGGGCGCAGCAGUGAGGAAUAUUGGUCAAUGGUCGGGAGACUGAACCAGCCAAGCCGCGUGAGGGAGGAAGGUACAGAGUAUCGUAAACCUCUUUUGUCAGGGAACAAAGGCGGGGACGUGUCCCCGGAUGAGUGUACCUGAAGAAAAAGCAUCGGCUAACUCCGUGCCAGCAGCCGCGGUAAUACGGAGGAUGCGAGCGUUAUCCGGAUUUAUUGGGUUUA
rnacentral:rRNA from 1 species